CAAGGCUUAAAACACAUCAAAAAGAGUACCACACGAAUUAGGGUUUUAUUGAGCUCUCAAAGACUGUAAAGAGGCCUAAGGAGGCUUAGGCCUCCUUAAAUAGGGUGCAAAACCCCGAGAUUUAGGGUUUCCUCUGCCAGCUCCUACUCGUCGAGUCCCUCCCUGGACUCGGCGAGUAGGUCACUAAACACGCGAUCCCACCCCACUGCUACUCGACGAGUAGGGCAACCAACUUGUCAAGUAGGACUUAAAACCAAAGAACCUUUUA
rnacentral:lncRNA from 1 species